GGCGGUGGGGAAUGCACACCCCUUCAUCCCAGAAGCCAGCGGCGGCAUCCCCGACUUUAUCUCGACCUCUUUUUUUCGCAGCUGCACUGCCCUGGCACACAUCACAAGUAAGCGUGACCUCCGCUGACGCCAGCUCGCUGUUCUUGCGCAGUAGGCGCGGACCCCCUUUCGCGCACAGACCAGCACACGCUCAUAGAGAAAGGCCUAGUAUCACAGGCCACAGGUGAUUGGGUAUGCCGAUCUCUGCCAAUUCCCUUGUUCGUUGGAGUCUUGCAGCGGUGGGCGUCUCGGGGGCAGCACUGGGCUGCACCUACGUGUACAAGACAUACUUUCAUCAGCAUCCAGCUCGGAAUGAGAAGAUAGUGCAGCUGGCUGCAAUCGCUCUCUCAGGAGAAGUCGUCGACAAGUCUCUCCACGACCCAGAAGUGCUAUCGCAGCUGCGCACGUUUGGGCUGCAGGUCCUCACGCAUCCCGUUGUGCUGGCCCACCUUAAGAAGUUUUUUAUCCACGAGCUCACAGAUGACACUCCAACCCGCGCUGCGCUGCGUACCUUUGUCGUGCGGGACGUCAUUCAAGAUGCAUGGGUGGAGGAGGAGCUCAUCGGCGUUGCGGAGGACCUCGUAGACUCUGUCAAGGACAACCCUGACUUGUUUCCAGAUCGCAUUCUUGCCCAGAUCGGCGCGAGUGCGCUGGAAGGGCUGCAGACGGAAGAGUUUUGGUGGGCCGUGCGUCGAAGCAGCAAAGCAGCUGGCUGGAUCGCUUUCAUUAGCCCCCCGCCCCACGACAUGACCUUCGAAGCACCAUUCUAACCGACCCGGAAAGAUAAGCUCGUGCUCACCCACGGUCAGGGUGCGCGUGUCCGCCUUUGGGCGUGUUCUUUGUUUGUCGUGGGCUGCAUCAUCCACCACUCUACUACCCACUCACUAUCGUUGCGCCCUACCAGCUCGUGACAACUUCGCCUACCCCACCACCACCACCACGAGCGCUAACUUCGCUCAUACGCGCGCGUACCUGAACGCAGUCACGCCUUCGUUUCGCGCAGCCUCUGUAUACACGACUUCAAUAAAAGACGGACCGAUGAGCGUUGCUACUUUACCGAAUGUCCGAUAGAAAGAGGAUGUCCCCGCGCGCGCCCGAGAG
rnacentral:misc_RNA from 1 species